UUGAACGCUGGCGGCAGGCUUAACACAUGCAAGUCGAGCGGAUGAAAGUAGCUUGCUACUGGAUUCAGCGGCGGACGGGUGAGUAAUGCUUAGGAAUCUGCCUAUUAGUGGGGGACAACAUCUCGAAAGGGAUGCUAAUACCGCAUACGUCCUACGGGAGAAAGCAGGGGAUCUUCGGACCUUGCGCUAAUAGAUGAGCCUAAGUCGGAUUAGCUAGUUGGUGGGGUAAAGGCCUACCAAGGCGACGAUCUGUAGCGGGUCUGAGAGGAUGAUCCGCCACACUGGGACUGAGACACGGCCCAGACUCCUACGGGAGGCAGCAGUGGGGAAUAUUGGGCAAUGGGCGAAAGCCUGACCCAGCGACGCCGCGUGAAGGAAGAAGGUCUUCGGAUUGUAAACUUCUUUGAACAGGGACGAAUAAAUGACGGUACCUGAAGAACAAGCCACGGCUAACUACGUGCCAGCAGCCGCGGUAAUACGUAGGUGGCAAGCGUUAUCCGGAUUUACUGGGUGUAAAGGGCGUGUAGGCGGCUCUGCAAGUCAGAUGUGAGAUUCCCAGGCUUACCCUGGG
rnacentral:rRNA from 1 species